AUUUUAUAUGAGAGUUUGAUCCUGGCUCAGGAUGAACGCCGGCGGUGUGCCUAAUACAUGCAAGUCGUACGCACUGGCCCAACUGAUUGAUGGUGCUUGCACCUGAUUGAUGAUGGAUCACCAGUGAGUGGCGAACGGGUGAGUAACACGUAG
rnacentral:rRNA from 1 species